rnacentral:rRNA from 1 species
CCUACGGGUGGCUGCAGGAGGGAAUAUUGCUCAAUGGGGGAAACCCUGAAGCAGCAACGCCGCGUGGAGGAUGAAGGUUUUCGGAUUGUAAACUCCUUUUGUUAGAGAAGAGAAUGACGGUAUCUAACGAAUAAUCACCGGCCAACUCCGUGCCAGCAGCCGCGGUAAUACGGAGGGUGCAAGCGUUACGCGGAACGACUGGGCGUAAAGGGCGCGUAGGCGGGAUAGCAAGUCAGAUGUGAAAUCCUAUGGCUUAACCGUAGAACUGCAUUUGAAACUGUUAGUCUAGAGUAUGGGAGAGGUAGGUGGAAUUCUUGGUGUAGGGGUGAAAUCCGUAGAGAUCAGGAGGAAUACUCAUUGCGAAGGCGGCCUGCUAGAACAUAACUGACGCUGAUGCGCGAAAGCGUGGGGAGCAAACAGGAUUAGAUACCCGUGUAGUC